rnacentral:lncRNA from 1 species
CUACUUAAACAACUCCUAGGAAGAACAAUGAAUGCGGGAAAGAGAAAAUUACAAGUAGACUACUCCUAAAAAAUGUAGGAAAUUGCGAGGAAAAUAAGGGCGGUAUUUUGUUCACAAGAAAAAGACCUCUUUUUAGGGCGUUAUUGGCCUAUUUAUAGAUCGCCCCUUGAUCAGUUAUUGCUUUUACACGAUCGGCCACUAUCUCCUAAUAUUUCGGACCACCUCCAGCCGAUCGGAACUGCUUGCAACUGCUUGCGGUUACUGUAACUUCCCUCAA